rnacentral:misc_RNA from 1 species
AUAGAAGAUAGCUUAAAUGAUGAACAUACAUUUUUAUAUAGAAGAAAAAAUCAAUUCCAGCAAGCAUCGAUUAUUUAAAAACAUCACAAAAUUACCAUAUCAAGUAGCAAGGCGAAGUCAACAAACAUGGCAUGAUUAUCAUUGCAGAAUGUGGGGUCCGUUGCCAAACAAAGGAAAACAUUAAUGAUAUCAGAUGUUACGCCAAGCACAAGAUAAGCAUAACAAUUGGACAUCAGAUCGCAGGCCAGUAUUGAAAUUCAAAUUCUAGCUGAAAAAUAUCCAACACGAUGUACCGGCCUGAGCUUCAGAACAGAACAGGUCACAAGGAGAUAUGGUUCAGAUUCAAAACUGAAUCAUAAGAUAUACCAGAGGAAAGAAUCCACAGCACAAACCUGGUCUGCUCUUUAGUGACGCACAAUAAACAAAAAACAUGGCCUUGGUAUUAAAAUCUUAGGAAUAAUCAACACAAUACACAAGGAAUGAUGCAGCUAAGUCCAUCAAGUUCAAGAUUUAGACGAGUUGAAAUUAGGUGUACAAUUUGCAUAACCCCACCUCCACCAGCUCUUCUCAUGAUACAACAAGCACUCAAAACCAACAAAUAAAGGAGAGAGCAAUCCAUAUAUCCAAAAUCCAAUUGCUCACUCUCCUCUCUUUUCAAGUUUCAUUUCAGGCAAAGGAUGUCUGUCUACAACCACAUUUCACCAGUGUAACAAUAAAAUCUCACAUACAGAACAAAUAGGUUUUGGAAAUUAGCCUAGAAGUUGUGUGAGAAAAGGAAAAAAUAAACCCCCUCAUCCCUAAAUUAACCAUCACCGAGUUCCAUACAACCAUAAAAAUGUAUCACAGCAGAAGUGAGGAAUCCCCACAAAUUGUCAUUACUCACCUAGCUAACAGUGAACCUCCAAAAAAUCCAUCAUCAGCUAUCCACCCAUGGACCGCAACUCCUCUAAUUGUGCUUUAAUCUGGUCCUGAACCAACUCCAACCUCUUGGAGUACACCUCCAACUCCAGUAUUUGCUGCUUCCUCCAUUUCUCAUCUACCAUCAACUCUCCUCCUCCAAAACUCAAAGGCAUUGCAUUCAUCGCCAACCCGCCAAUUCCUCUCCCAGUACAAGGCCCUACAGCCAUAAAAUUACUCAACAGCUCCUUAAACAAGGGCGACAAGCAACUCCUUACCGUCUCCUCAAUCAAAACCGAAACGUUUUGAUUAUUAUUAUUAAUGACGUUAUUGGUAUUGUUGCUGUCAUUAUUAGCCUCGCUUGAUACACGCUUAUCGUCAACUUUAACACCGGAAGGAGCUGCAGCACAUGACCGUGAUCGCGACCGUUUACGUGACCUGGGCGUGGACUUGUGAUCCUCAAUUUUAACUUCAGCAUCAUUGAAAUUAGGGGGGUUAGGGUUUCCUUCCUCAUCAUCCAAAUUACCAUCUUCGACACCGAUUUUACCGGUGGAGCUCCAAAUCUUACGCGAAAUCUCGAAACUAGCCUGAUCAUGAGGGCUCUUGAAAGAGAAGUCCUUACCUGAGCUGAUUUUGUUGAGGACAUUGCGGUACUUCUUCUUCAAACGGCGUAGUUUCUCAACCAGCUGGUUCUUGUUGAAAUCGAGCUGAAGCUUCGAUUUGAUUUGGUCGUAGAACAAAGCGGUGUCGUAGUGGCUGCUUCCACGCUGUGUCGUGUAGUCGAGAAACCCUUGGAGGACCACUAUUUCGUCUUCAUCCGUCCAUAAUCGUUGAAAAAGCCGCCUCGAUUCAUCCAUUUGUUGCGGCUGCGGUUGCGGUUUUUUCUCUUCUCGCUGGUGGAUAACCCGCAUAGUUUCAACGCGUUGACGCUUGGAGUCAGGAGCGGACUCCACGGAAGCAGAGGGAGGAUCACCUCCGUUGGGAACAGCGACGGUGACGACAGAGGAGGAGGGGACAGCAACAGGGACGGUAGCAGGAGAGGAGGUAGAAGGGGAAACAGAGUUGAGGUCUACUUCGUCUUCCUCGUCAGCAAGAACGUCGUCGUUUCCAACUAUGACAUCGUCGUUCUCAAGAUCAUCGUCGUCAUCUUGAGACUGGGAGGAUUCUUCGUCGUCGUCAUCGUCGUCGAGGUCGUGGCCAAAAACGGUGUCGUCCUGCUCGGAGGCCAUGAAAAAUGUAAGAGAGAGAAAUAGGAGGGGAGAAAAGCGUUAAUUUUUGGGGGAGGGAGGGAGGGAGGCUAAAGGCUAAGGUAGGGCGGGUGCGUUAGGGGUUCACGAGGAUUCGUUGGUUUCUUCUUCUUGCGUGUUGGGUGGGUUUGGUUGUGAAGAGUUUCCUAGGAGAAUAGACGACCCACGCUCUUUUCAUAGCGCGUGUCUUCAAACCCUUUCUUCUGCCUUUUCCAAUAAAUUAGAGUAAUUUCAC